GAUCCACACAAAUUUUCUAUAGAAAAUCCCUCACUCUGAUCUAUGAAAUCCAUAGAAAAAAAUUUCGAGACAAAAAGCAAAUAGAGGUGACAAGACUGAGGGAGCCAUUCCAAUCACCACCCGUCUUCUUAAUUGCCUAUGGGAUCUCAUCUCGCAAUAUCUAGGCAAAUUUUUAUCUCACAAUGGCUCACAUGCUAGAUGAAACUUUACCACCUCUCAUCAUAAUUCCAAAAAAAAAAUUUAUCACUAGGCCACACCACAAUCAUUUUCAAAAUUUAGGAGACGUUCAAACUUAGUUUUAAUCUACAGAAUGGUUCCCUAUGAUCCAUUAAAAUGUUACUCACGGAUUCUUAGAACUCAGAGACACAGGUUACCUGUAGAACAGAUCAUGAUCAAAUAAGAUCGUAGAUCUACAAACUCUCCAAUGGCCAAAAGGAGACUCUUUAGACCUCUCUGCAUAAGAAAUCAGAAUAACCGAUAACAAUGUCCAGUUAAUUCUAGAGCAAACAUAUAUAAAUCAGCAAUUGCAAUAAUAACGUAGCUUCUAUGGAACUAAAUUCCCUAGAAAUGAUUAUAUCUUCAUUGGACUUGCACCAAUUUACUAGUUACAAUGUUACAGAAAUCUUUGAACUCACAAUCUUGCAGAGAAGCUUUAUACAACCGUGUACAACUAGGAGCAACUAUAUAUAUAAUCAAUCACACAGCUGGCUGCUGAUGUUCUAAAGAAUCAGCAGGCUGGGAUCCAAGCCACCGAAAGAAAAAAAUAAAAAA